UUACAGUCCUGUGAAUGAAACAUUGUGACCUCAAGUUUACAGAUGAAGACAAUAAACUUCAGAGAGUUCAAGUAUAUCACUCAAGCAGGAUUAUUUGUGCCCAUGAGGGAAACACGAAGGAUUGUCAGUAUUCAUUUGCUAUCAGAACUGCCUUUGAACUUCAGGGAAGCCGCCAUCUUGUUUUUGUUCACUCCUCUAAAGCACAGUGUCUGCAACAAGAAACACUAAUAAGACACAGUUAUCCAGAAAAAGCCCUAGAGAUGGAUAAGGAACCUGUUGGAAUGCUCCGAUAUUAAGAAAAAAAAAUUAAAUUCAAAACCAAAAACAAGUCACAAGGGAGUUUUAUGCCUAUGUAAUCAGUGCAGACAGCCGUUAAGUAAAUGAAGAGGCAACUAACAAUGUCAGAAAAGAGACCGGGCGGUUCCGGCUGACACUACCCUAAUCUUCCAGGACCCAUUAAAUGGCAGUUUCAACGCAUUACCUACCAUAACAUCCUUGAAUAUCACUGAUUUUAUUUGCAGUAUCAAACAUUCCAUUUCAUGCCCCAUUAACAGUGGGAGCCUGGGCUUUUUGACGCAGCUAAACAUUUUACUAACUACCUGGACUAAGUAACCAAUUAACUUUUGGAGACAAUACGGCCAAUUAAGCGCGAAAAGCAGAAAUAUCAGUGUCCGACAAGAUAUUGCCCUGGUUUUCACUGGCUUGGACUCUUCAGAGAGAAAAACAAAUCCGUGUAUAGAGAGAAAAUUUGGAAAACAGCCUUUUCCUAUCCGGAUGAACAGAGAUAAUUUGUGUCAAUGGAUGUUCUGUGAAGGCCUAUUGUGUCGAGCAGUGUAUUAAAACAUAAAUAUGGCUCUUCCCCCAAGAAACUUACAUUUCAGUAAGGGAGCCUGGCCAAAAUGGAAAAUUGCAAGGUUCAAAUCCUGGAGUGCAGAAGAAGCAUUAGGCAUUGACCCUGUGGCUUCCUAAUAGAUCCGCAAAGUGCUUUGUUCCUGGAAAUCAUCCGAUGAGUAGUUCACUGCUAUUGUAUAUCUUGUUAGAGCAGCCGAAGUGCCACAAAAUGAACUAAAAUCUCCCUGCAGAGUUGCUGUAUCAUAUGCUGAGAACAUUCGGAACUUUCAACAAAUUCAUGUUACGAUCCUGGGUAGCCAUGGUUAAAUCUGUACAGGGGUUAAAUGAGAAAUAUGAGUCUGUUGUUAAGUGUCUUCUGAGAGUGACAAAGCUCUGGCCAUAAGGGAUGGGAGAGGAGGGAUUUCUUCUCAGCCUUCCAGCCCUUUCCAGCUGUAUCACAGACAGGAGACAUAAGGCAAAGGGGCUCAGACAUUGACUUCCUGGAUCUUUACAGCUCCAGGCAUUGACCCCCUCUACCUGGCUUUUCCUACACUGUAAAAUGAGGAUCCUCCUAUAUUAUGGAGUUUAUUGUGAUAACUAAAUAGCUGAGAAGAAGGACAUCUCAUUUGUUUUAACUAUGCAGUUUCCUAUCUAUCUAUCCCAUCAAUCUAUCAAUCAAUCUAUCAAUCUAUCUGUCUAUCCCUAUCUAUCUAUCCAUCUAUCUAUCUAUAUCUGUCUACAUCUAUCUAACAUUUAUCUAUCAUCUCUUCGUCUAUCAGCUAUCAUCUGUCUAUCAAUAUUUCAAUCAAUCUCUCUAUCCCUAUCAAUUAAUGUAUCUACCUACCUAUCCAACUAUCCAUCUAUCUCUAUCAUCUAUCAUCUAUUCAUCUAUCAUUAUCAUCUGUCAAUCUAUCAUUUAUCAUCUGUCAAUCCAUCUUCCUACUAUCCAUCAAAAGCAACACAUUUUCUUCCUGACUUUAAAAAUAUUUAAGUGGGCCAGGGGGAUGGCUCACGCCUGUAAUCCCAGCACUCUGGGAGGCCUAGGCGGGCGGAUCACGAGGUCAGGAGAUGGAGACCAUCCUGGCUAACAUGGUGAAACCCCGUCUCUACUAAAAAUAAAAAAAUAAAAAUAAAAUAAAAUAAAAAAUUAGCCAGGCGUGGUGGAGGGCGCCUGUAGUCCCAGCUACUCGGGAGACUGAGGCAGGAGAAUGGCGAGAACCUGGGAGGCGGAGCUUGCAGUGAGCCGAGAUCACGCCACUGCACUCCAGCCUGGGCGACAGAGCAAGACUCCAUCUCAAAAGAAACAAAAACAAAAACGUAAGUGAUACUGUGUCCAUUCUUUUGAUUGAGGAGGUCUGAUUUUCAGGCUUUGGAUUUUAUUAUGUCUUCAAUAUAAUAAUUGUUCCAUGUAUCUCUCCUAAAUUGCCAUUUGAAAAACUGCUUUUCUGAAGUUUAAAGUGCACAUUUUGAUACAUCUUGACACAAAUAUACACCCAUGAAAUCAUCAUCACAAUCAGGAUAGUAAAUCUAUCCAUUACCGCCAAGGUUUACUUGCACUCCUUUGAACUUUCUCCCCACUCCCCGCCCCCUGCCUAUCUCCAAUCCUUAAGCAAUCACUGAUUUGCUUUCUGUCACUAUCAGUUAAUUUGAAUUUUUCAGAAAUAUAUAAAUAAAAUCAUUCGACGUGUAUGCUCUUUCUCUGUUCACCCAGUACAAUUUGAGAUUUAGCCAUGUUUUUGCAUGUGUCAAUUGUUUAUUUUUUUGUUGCUCAGUACUAAUCCAUUUUAUGGAUACAUAGAAAUGUAUUAAUGCAAUCCCAUAUUAAUAGGCAUUUGGGUUGUUUCCACGUUUGGGCUAUUACAAAUAAAGCUGCUAUGAA
rnacentral:lncRNA from 1 species